rnacentral:rRNA from 1 species
AGGGCACCACCAGGAGUGGAGCCUGCGGCUUAAUUUGACUCAACACGGGAAAACUCACCCGGCCCGGACACCGCGAGGAUUGACAGAUUGAUAGCUCUUUCAUGAUUCGGUGGAUAGUGGUGCAUGGCCGUUCUUAGUUCGUGGAGCGAUUUGUCUGGUUUAUUCCGAUAACGAGCGAGACUCUAGCCUACUAACUAGUCCGCGUGUUCGCUUGCUGCAUGCUUGGGACUUCUUAGAGGGAUUUUCGGCGUUUCAGCCGCACGAAACUGAGCAAUAACAGGUCUGUGAUGCCCUUAGAUGUCCGGGGCUGCACGCGCGCUACACUGGCGAAAUCAGCGUGCCUGUCCUCUCGCGAAAGCGACUGGUAAACCGGUGAAAAUUCGCCGUGAUUGGGAUCGGAAAUUGCAAUUAUUUUCCGUGAACGAGGAAUUCCAAGUAAGUGCGAGUCAUCAACUCGCGUUGAUUACGUCCCUGCCCUUUGUACACACCGCCCGUCGCUGCCCGAGACUGAGCCAUUUC